rnacentral:rRNA from 1 species
GAUGAACGCUGGCGGCGUGCCUAAUACAUGCAAGUCGAGCGAACGGACGAGAAGCUUGCUUCUCUGAUGUUAGCGGCGGACGGGUGAGUAACACGUGGAUAACCUACCUAUAAGACUGGGAUAACUUCGGGAAACCGGAGCUAAUACCGGAUAAUAUUUUGAACCGCAUGGUUCAAAAGUGAAAGACGGUCUUGCUGUCACUUAUAGAUGGAUCCGCGCUGCAUUAGCUAGUUGGUAAGGUAACGGCUUACCAAGGCAACGAUGCAUAGCCGACCUGAGAGGGUGAUCGGCCACACUGGAACUGAGACACGGUCCAGACUCCUACGGGAGGCAGCAGUAGGGAAGCUUCCGCAAUGGGCGAAAGCCUGACGGAGCAACGCCGCGUGAGUGAUGAAGGUCUUCGGAUCGUAAAACUCUGUUAUUAGGGAAGAACAUAUGUGUAAGUAACUGUGCACAUCUUGACGGUACCUAAUCAGAAAGCCACGGCUAACUACGUG